rnacentral:rRNA from 1 species
CCUACGGGAGGCAGCAGUGAGGAAUAUUGGUCAAUGGACGCAAGUCUGAACCAGCCAUGCCGCGUGCAGGAAGACGGCUCUAUGAGUUGUAAACUGCUUUUGUACGAGGGUAAACGCAGAUACGCGUAUCUGUCUGAAAGUAUCGUACGAAUAAGGAUCGGCUAACUCCGUGCCAGCAGCCGCGGUAAUACGGAGGAUUCAAGCGUUAUCCGGAUUUAUUGGGUUUAAAGGGUGCGUAGGCGGUCGGAUAAGUUAGAGGUGAAAUCCCGAGGCUCAACUUCGGAAUUGCCUCUGAUACUGUUCGGCUAGAGAGUAGUUGCGGUAGGCGGAAUGUAUGGUGUAGCGGUGAAAUGCUUAGAUAUCGCGCAGAACCCCGAUUGCGAAGGCAGCGUGCCGUGCCGCCACUGACGCUGAGGCACGAAAGCGCGGGGAUCGAACAGGAUUAGAUACCCGUGUAGUC